GAGAAGGAGAAGAGAGAAGGAGUAGUAUUUAGUGACCAGAACUGUAUGGAGUGUAUCUUUUGUGUGUGUGUGUGUAUGUGUGUGCGUGUGUGUGUGUGUGUGUGUGUGUGUGUGGGGGGGGUGGUAUCUAUAUAGUUUGUAUCUAUAUUAAGUUAAUCUUUGGUGUGUGUCUAUUUGGUGUGUUUAUCUUUAUGGUGUGUAUCUAUAUGGUGUGUAUCUAUGGUGUAUUGUGGCGUCCCGCCCCUUAAACCUCGGUCCGGAUGGACCCGAGGUUUCAUCCUGGAUGGCAAAUACUACCGUCAUCCACCAGCCGGCGACGGAGAACACCUGGCUGGACAGCCAGGAAGACAUUUUAAAAGGAGCACGAGGACUGGCAUUUGGGAGGAACGGGAGCGAGAGAGAAGGAAGCGCUCGGGUCCGCGAGCGACUAGAGGCUCACGGAGGGCCCAAGAGACUGUCUAUCAUGGAUAUUUAACUGCAGUUCUGUGAGUAUCCCAACUUAACCAUGAAGAUGAACUGCGAACUGUAAGUCAUUAAUUUCUCAUUACUCUUGGGCACAUUGAUGUAUUUUGGCUUCCUGGUGAGUUAGCCCGUUACCUGAAGGUUGAUCUGAGUAAGGAUGUUUUAUUGGUUCAUGGGUUACUCAGGAGGUUGGUUUUAAUGAUUUGUUAAAAUGGUUACAGGCUCCAGUGAAUUGUUGUAAGCAGGAGUAAUGGGUUGGGUUCUGAUAUCUUCAGUCUUCUUUCAUUCUACUCUCCUGAGCUCUGCAUCUUCAUCACAUGAGUGUUGCUUUACUGAGGAGGGUGUGGUCUGAGUGAGCGGAGGUGCAUACUGGGAUACAGAGCUGUCUGAAGUCUACAGGUCUGUAGACACGCCCCCUCAGGGGAAACCGAGUGUUUGAGAAACCGUCGUGACGUCAGUUACAUGGACUGGAAUGUUCUUUAAAAUGGAGACAGGGAUUCAGAAGGAGAAACACCAGGGGGAGAUGAGGCGGCUCUUCAUCUCAACGACUAAAACACAACUUCAGUCUGACACAGAGAACCAUGGAACACAUUCAACAGUCUCCUCCAGGCAUCGUGACUCCUCAGGAACAGUUUAAUUUCCAAGAAGGUCCUAUUUGGGGCCAUCCCCAUAUGGAUCCUGCUCCUCAAGAGCCACCCCCCUCCACUGGGUGGUCUUCUGAACAGAUGACCUCCUUCCUGUCCUCAGGCUGACAAAAGCUGCACCGUUUGCAUCUGUGAAAGCCCGUCAUUCAGGAAACCAAUGGACUGCAAAGACAUGACUACAAAGACGUUGAAUCAACCUGGGACACAUUUUGGAGACGCCAAGCAUAAUCCAUCACCAAUGUGGGACGCCACUGAAGAAUGUUGUACAUAAUUUACGUCUCUGGAGACAUUGGUUGUUCUGUUAUGGGUGUCCCGGCAGGAGAGCUGGGGGGGGAUGUUGGAAUGUUAAUUGGCAUGAGGUUUUUACCCUGCAUGAUUGUUUGGCCUUUUAUGGCUCAGUGGUGUGUGUGUUUGGCAUGAGAGGGAUGAUUUUUGAGCAUCGCUAGGGUUCUAGUGUGUGUGUGUGUGUGUGUCCGACUCACACCUGGCAUGGGGUUCUACGUGCCUGUCCUGGGUUCU